UCAAUAUAAAUUGAUUAAUAUUUAUUUAUUAAUUAUAUUAUUGUUUUAUUUAAAUUAUUAAAAAUAAUUAUAUAAUGUAUUUGUUUUAGUAUUUUAUAAAGAAUAAAUAAUUUUAAUAAUAGUUUAUUAGUAUUGUGAAAGAAAAUUGAGAUAUUAUGAAAAAUUUUUAAUUUAAAAGAAAAUUUAAUUUAUUGUACCUUGUGUAUCAGGGUUUAUUAAUUAAAAAAUAAAUAUUUAUUUUUCUCGAUUUUAAAAGAGUUAAUAAUUUAUUAAAGUUAAUGUAUUAAAAUUAUUUUAAAUAAAUUAUUAGAAAUGAAAUGUUAUUCGUUUUUAAAGGUAUCUAGUUAUUUCAGAAAUAAAUUUAAUUUAGAAAUUUAAAAUUAUUUAAUUUAUUUUUUAAUUAAAUAAUUUUUGAGUUUUAAUAUUUUAUGGGAUAAGCUGUAAAAUAAAUUUUUAAAAAUAAUAAAUAAUAAAAUUAAAAUGUAUAUUUAAAAUUAGUAAUCAUUUUUAAGAUUGUUAUAAAUUAUUAUAAUUUAGGUAUUAUUUAUUAAAUUUUAAUUAUUUAUGAAAAUAUUUAUUUUAAUUUUUAAAAUAAAAUAAUAAUGAUAAAAUUAGUAUAUUUUUAUUGUAAAAAAAUAAUUUUAAAUGAAAAGUUUUAGUAAAGAAUUCGGCAAAUUUAUAUUCGCCCUGUUUAACAAAAACAUGUCUUUUAGUAAUUAAUUUAAAGUCUAACCUGCCCACUGAAUUUUUUUAAAUGGCCGCAGUAUACUAACUGUGCAAAGGUAGCAUAAUCAUUAGUCUUUUAAUUGAAGGCUGGUAUGAAUGGUUGGACGAAAUAUAAACUGUUUCAUUAAAAAUUUUUAUAAAACUUUAUUUUUUAGUUAAAAAGCUAAAAUUUAUUUAAAAGACGAGAAGACCCUAUAAAUCUUUAUAAAUGAUUUUAUUUUAAUUAUUUAGAUUAUUUUUGUUAUAAUUGAAUUAUUUAUUUUAUUGGGGUGAUAUUAAAAUUUAAAAAACUUUUAAUUUUAAAGAUCAUUAAUUUAUGACUAAUUGAUCCGUUAUUAACGAUUAAAAAUUUAAGUUACUUUAGGGAUAACAGCGUAAUUUUUUUGGAGAGUUCAUAUCGACAAAAAAGAUUGCGACCUCGAUGUUGGAUUAAGAGAUAAUUUUAGGUGUAGCCGCUUAAAUUUUAAGUCUGUUCGACUUUU
rnacentral:rRNA from 1 species